rnacentral:rRNA from 1 species
GGGGAAUAUUGCACAAUGGGGGAAACCCUGAUGCAGCGACGCCGCGUGGAGGAAGAAGGUCUUCGGAUUGUAAACUCCUGUCUUCGGGGACGAUAAUGACGGUACCCGAGGAGGAAGCCACGGCUAACUAUGUGCCAGCAGCCGCGGUAAAACGUAGGUGGCAAGCGUUGUCCGGAAUUACUGGGUGUAAAGGGAGCGCAGGCGGGCUCGCAAGUUGGGAGUGAAAUCUAUGGGCUUAACUCAUAAAUUGCUUUCAAAACUGUGAGUCUUGAGUGGUGUAGAGGUAGGCGGAAUUCCCGGUGUAGCGGUGGAAUGCGUAGAUAUCGGGAGGAACACCAGUGGCGAAGGCGGCCUACUGGGCACUAACUGACGCUGAGGCUCGAAAGUAUGGGUAGCAAAC